rnacentral:misc_RNA from 1 species
CAGUCGUAACAAGGUCUCCGUUGGUGAACCAGCGGAGGGAUCAUUACCGAGUUAUCAACUCCCAAACCCCUGUGAACAUACCCCAACGUUGCCUCGGCGGGACCGCCCCGGCCCCCCUCGGGGGUCGGAGACAGGCGCCCGCCGGAGGACCCAAACUCUUGCCUGGUUUAGCGGCAUACUCUGAGUCUCACAAACAAAAUGAAUCAAAA